UCAGGAUGAACGCUGGCGGCGUGCCUAAUACAUGCAAGUCGAACGAGGUAGCAAUACCGAGUGGCGAACGGGUGAGUAACACGUAGGUAACCUGCCUUACAGUUUGGGAUACCCUGGCGAAAGCUAGGCUAAUACCGAAUAAUUGGAUUGGAGGCAUCUCUGAUCUCUAAAAGGGGCCCUUAAAGCCUCGCUGAAAGAUGGACCUGCGGCGCAUUAGCUAGUUGGUGAGAUAACAGCCCACCAAGGCGAGGAUGCGUAGCCGACCUGAGAGGGUGAACGGCCACACUGGAACUGAGACACGGUCCAGACUCCUACGGGAGGCAGCAGUAGGGAGUUUUCGGCAAUGGGGGAAACCCUGACCGAGCAACGCCGCGUGAAUGAAUGAAGGUCUUCGGAUUGUAAAGUUCUGUUAUAAGGGAAAAAUGAUAGGGUGAGGAAAUGCUCCCUAUUUGAUGGUACCUUAUUAGAAAGCCACGGCUAACUACGUGCCAGCAGCAGC
rnacentral:rRNA from 1 species